CCCCGCCUCUGAAGCUUCGUCUUCUCCGAACCUCCAUCCCCACCAUGGACUGAUUCCCCUCAAUCGUUGGACACCAGCCAAUACCACCAUGCAAAACACACAAUAACCAACUCCUCCAUAGCUAUCGAGUUCCAUCAGCAGCUCAAACAAGAAAUAAACACACACACAUACCAAAACACAUACAUACACAUACCAGCAUCGUCGAAAACCAAAGACAGAAUAUGGUAAUGUUUUUGUUUCUUUUGCUCAAUGUCGAAUUUGAAACUGAAAUGAAGCGGCGCUGAAAAUCAAAUCAGCUUUUUCUAAGUUGUGGUUUCACUUCAAAAAUCAGAAAUAUUGAUAUAUAAAGCUAGUUUUGUAUUCUGGAUCUUUUCCAGCCGUCGUUCAUGUUUCCCGUCGCAGCUCGUUGUUCUGGUUUGAAGAUCUGUUGGAAUCCCUUCAGUUUGGAUCCGUGAGAUCAAAGCAGUGGUUGAUAUGCAUUUGAUGUGAAGCUCUAUUUUUCAGUGUAAAAGAAAGAAUUCUAAGGUUCAUUUCUUUUCUAUUUCUACAAUUAUUUGAAUUGCAGCUCAAGUGUUUGUUGUUUUGUCUCUCUUAGAAAUUUUAGUGUAUUUAGAAUUCUAAGGUUCAUUUCUUUUCUAUUUCUACAAUUAUUUGAAUUGCAG
rnacentral:lncRNA from 1 species